GACGAACGCUGGCGGCGUGCCUAAUACAUGCAAGUAGAACGCUGAAGGAGGAGCUUGCUUCUCUGGAUGAGUUGCGAACGGGUGAGUAACGCGUAGGUAACCUGCCUGGUAGCGGGGGAUAACUAUUGGAAACGAUAGCUAAUACCGCAUAAUAGUAGAUGUUGCAUGACAUUUGCUUAAAAGGUGCAAUUGCAUCACUACCAGAUGGACCUGCGUUGUAUUAGCUAGUUGGUGGAGUAACGGCUCACCAAGGCGACGAUACAUAGCCGACCUGAGAGGGUGAUAGGCCACACUGGGACUGAGACACGGCCCAGACUCCUACGGGAGGCAGCAGUAGGGAAUCGUCGGCAAUGGACGGAAGUCUGACCGAGCAACGCCGCGUGAGUGAAGAAGGUUUUCGGAUCGGAAAGCUCUGUUGUAAGAGAAGAACGAGUGUGAGAGUGGAAAGUUCACACUGUGACGGUAUCUUACCAGAAAGGGACGGCUAACUACGUG
rnacentral:rRNA from 1 species